UCGUCGCUUCUGAGUAGAGCGGUCGCCAGUCGGGCAGCUCCCGCUCCAAAAUUCUUUUGUGCUGUUAAUACGCGUUUUUAGACCCAGUUCUUCUUGCCUCGUAGUGUUUUUAGUAUAAACACCUUACUCAGUGAAAACAUUUACCUCAAGAUCCAGUUUAUAUCAAGAUACUUACCGUUUUUUAGUGCCGUUAAUGUACUUUCUGUGCACUUUUUCUGAUCGAUUUUUGUAAUUGCAACUCCGCAUCUAAUGAUAAACCGAUUGAUUGAGAGAUUAGUAGCUGACAGCGAGCUACACUCUUAUCUCUUGUGAUUAACAGCCGUGAUUACUGGACUGAAACUAAAUGCCGUCGGGGUCUGAUUACCACCUGCACUGCGCGUGAUAAGCGGCGCUUCACAAUGGAACGCCGUUUGUACUAUAACCUAUCUUCAGGGGGAAGACGUAAUUUCUCACGAGGGAGAGCGAUUUUAGUGGGGAGAGAAAGAAAUUCCCGAGGGUCGGCCAAACUUUUUCAGUGCAGGGAGCGAUCAUCGUGUCGUGACUAAUGAGUUCCGUCAGAAACGGACAAUUUUGCGAUAAAAGAGGUGAACAGACCAAUCAGUUGUACAGCAUGUAAUAUUUAUUUUCGUAACUUAACAGUGGAGUUCGUGAUUAUGGUGUCGUGACUCCUGGGUCACGCUAAAACUGAAUUUUUUUCCAUUAAUGAAGUAUAAGGACCAAUCAGUGUUACAGUAUAUAGUAUUCAUGUCCAUAAUUUAACAGUGCAGUCCGUGAUUUUCGUUUCGUGACUCAUGGUACCUACUAAAAACUUGAUACUCUAGCGGAGAAUGAAGUGAACGGACCAAUCUGUUGUGCAGCACGCAACACACUUUUUUUUAAAUGCAGCAAUGCGAUUCGUGGCUAUCUUGUUUUACUGAUAUUAUUUACUCUUUUUUUUCUCUUUUAAUCUUGUUCAGUCCCCUAAGGUGCCAUUUCUUCCUUGUACGGCAGCAAGUCAAACUUUCUACCAUACCCGUCCACUAGCUUGAAGUUCUCUGAUGUAACAUCAGUGUCUUCGGUGAUUACAUUAUAAAGAGGACAACUCUUGUUGAUCGGCAAGUGUGUAAUUUUUCCUUUUAUUCCGUAUACUCUUCCGUAUGCAAAGUAGUCGGUAUAAUGCCCACAGUUACAACGAAGUAUGUUGAAAUAAACCUGUAAAAAAUCAAGUAGUGUUCUUAAUAGCAAGUUUAGAAAUAAACGGAUUUAUAAUAUGUA